CAUCCUCUUAAGGGUUCAGACCACAUGAAAGACAGAACAGACUUCCAUGGAAAGAGGAAGAGAGGAUUUCAGAGAAGACGCGGCCACAGAAUCCAUACCGAUUACAGCUGAGACACACAGCAAGAAAUAGGUGCUGGUCCAAGAAGAUGGUGAACUAUUGAAUUCAGCUGGAAUCUGGUGCCAGCCCAUCCUAGGUCCUCGUGGUAAAGGCUGGGGGAGUGUCAUUUGGUGUAUCCCAGUGGAACCAACUGCUAAGAAAAUGAGAUGCAGCGGUAGGAGAAGACGGAUGGCAUGAUAGAAACUCCCCUAUAAAUGGAUAAUUCUUUAGU